rnacentral:ncRNA from 1 species
GGGGAACUUCCUCUAAGGCUAAAUAUGAUAUAUAAGCGAUAGUGAAUAGUACCGUGAGGUAACAUUUGAAAUAGUAAUUUUAUAAGCAGCUCGAGUAAAAAUUAAAAUUAAAAAUAAGAGUGUACCUUUUGCAUAAUGGGUCAGCAAGUUAAUUUUAGAUGCAAGUGGUAUAAAUAAUUAUAUAUGGUAUAAUCUAUAUAAUUAAAUUACCUAAGAUAAACCAAUUAUGAAAAAAUGAUAAGUAUCUAAAAUUAGACCCGAAGGCUAGUGAUCUUACCAUGAUCAGGGUUAAAAAGGCCCGAACGGGUUAUCGUUGUAUAGAUAUCCGAUGAAUUGUGGUAAGUUAGUGAAAGAUAAAACUGACUAGUAUAGCUGGUUUUCCGCGAAACCUAUGUGAGUAGGUAAUUUAAUUAACAUCUUAGCAGGUACAGAACUGUGAUCUCGGACAAUAUUAUUUUUAUAAUACUUGUUUACAUCGGGGGAUUGUAGUGAUUUUAUCGGAGAGUAUUUGCACUCGGAAGGGCAAAGAUGAAUAUUGAAUAAUCGGACAUAGUACGAUAAGGUUGUAUGUCUAAAGGGAAACAGCCCAGAACAAGAGUUUAAGGUUCCAAAAUUAUUGUUAAGUGAAAUUAAGGAUGUUUUUUUCAAAAACAAUCAGGAAAUAGGCUUAGAGGCGGCCAUUUUUUGAAGAUCUCGUAACAGAGCACUGAUUAAAUUUAAUAGGAAAAAAUACCGAAAAUUUAACGGAUCUAAAUAAUAUACCGAAACCUUGUACACAAUAACUGUGGGGUAGCGGAACAUCGGAUGUUUGAAUAAUUAGUAUAUUUAUUUUAUUAAGUAUACUUACACAUAUAAGUCAAAUGUAUUGUUUAUAAAAAAAAUAUAUUUA